CCUACGGGAGGCUGCAGUUUCGAAUCAUUCACAAUGGGCGAAAGCCUGAUGGUGCGACGCCGCGUGAGGGAUGAAGGUCUUCGGAUUGUAAACCUCUGUCACCGAGGAAGAAACGCUACAUUUUAAUAGCAUGUAGCCUGACUUAACUCGGAGAGGAAGCAGUGGCUAACUCUGUGCCAGCAGCCGCGGUAAUACAGAGACUGCAAGCGUUAUUCGGAUUCACUGGGCGUAAAGGGUGCGCAGGCGGCCAUGUGUGUUAGGUGUGAAAUCCCGAG
rnacentral:rRNA from 1 species